AAUAGAUACCCGGGUAGUCCACGCCGUAAACGAUGUCGACUUGGAGGUUGUGCCCUUGAGGCGUGGCUUCCGGAGCUAACGCGUUAAGUCGACCGCCUGGGGAGUACGGCCGCAAGGUUAAAACUCAAAUGAAUUGACGGGGGCCCGCACAAGCGGUGGAGCAUGUGGUUUAAUUCGAUGCAACGCGAAGAACCUUACCUACUCUUGACAUCCAGAGAACUUAGCAGAGAUGCUUUGGUGCCUUCGGGAACUCUGAGACAGGUGCUGCAUGGCUGUCGUCAGCUCGUGUUGUGAAAUGUUGGGUUAAGUCCCGCAACGAGCGCAACCCUUAUCCUUUGUUGCCAGCGGUUCGGCCGGGAACUCAAAGGAGACUGCCAGUGAUAAACUGGAGGAAGGUGGGGAUGACGUCAAGUCAUCAUGGCCCUUACGAGUAGGGCUACACACGUGCUACAAUGGCAUAUACAAAGAGAAGCGACCUCGCGAGAGCAAGCGGACCUCAUAAAGUAUGUCGUAGUCCGGAUUGGAGUCUGA
rnacentral:rRNA from 1 species